UAUUCUGUCUCUCAAUGUUAAAAUGUACCUAUGAUUAAAAUUAUACACAGUUCCAUUCUUUGUAAGUGGGCAAACCUACAAAAUCAGCAAGGGAUCAAAUAAUUAUUGCUCCCACUAUAUAUAUAUAGGUCCCAUUUAAAUGGCAGUAUUUCUUAAAACUAAGUCACUCAAUAAGAAGGCUGUACAGAGAAGUGCUUCCCAGUACUUGAGGGAAUGGAGUGCAAUGAUUCUUAGCAUGUUCUGCAGUCCCCAGACUCAGAGAAAGGUUUGGACCUUUCUUGGAUUUUUUUGAAUUUUCUGUUGAAAACAGGUUGUAAAGGUAAAACUGGAAAAGGCUCUCACAGCUUUCAGACUGCCAAGAGGAUGGAUGGAAGAUCACUUUUUACCAGUGACACCUCUGCGUCCGAGGCAGGUUGAAGGAGCCAUUAAGACGGAGCUCAGUGGUCUAUCAGUGUACGGUUAUGGACGUCGAGGUCCAAAGACCCGUUGCGUAUCGGCGGGUCCUCCAGGCCCAUGUCAGGGCCAUGGGUGGCCUGGUUCGCCAGGUGCGCCUUAACAGGGCUUGCCAGCGGCAGGUUGCCCUGUUAAGGCGUGAAGUGGAUGAUGUCACCCGCCAGUCCAAGGACUACCGCCGGCAGCUGGAGCAGGCCCUCCAGCAGACGCAGAGCAGCAGCCCGAUCCGGGCCAGCAGCACCAGCACACAGAGCAGGAGGACGAGGAGGAGCAUGAGGAUGCUCCGGGCAAUUAAAAAAAAU
rnacentral:lncRNA from 1 species